rnacentral:rRNA from 1 species
AGCGAACGCUGGCGGCAGGCCUAAUACAUGCAAGUCGAGCGCACCUUCGGGUGAGCGGCGGACGGGUGAGUAACGCGUGGGAACGUGCCCUUUGGUACGGGAUAACUGAGGGAAACUUCAGCUAAUACCGUAUGUGCCCUACGGGGGAAAGAUUUAUCGCCAUUGGAGCGGCCCGCGUUGGAUUAGGUAGUUGGUGAGGUAAAGGCUCACCAAGCCUACGAUCCAUAGCUGGUCUGAGAGGAUGAUCAGCCACACUGGGACUGAGGCACGGCCCAGACUCCUACGGGAGGCAGCAGUAGGGAAUCUUGCGCAAUGGGCGAAAGCCUGACGCAGCCAUGCCGCGUGAAUGAUGAAGGUCUUAGGAUUGUAAAAUUCUUUCACCGGGGAAGAUAAUGACGGUACCCGGAGAAGAAGCCCCGGCUAACUUCGUGCCAGCCGCCGCAGUAAAAC